GUAUGGUUUGACCAUAGGGUAAUGAAGACCAAUGAUUAAACCUGUGAACGAUGAAGAACUGAAUUAAAGAUAAUGACGUUUAACGUAAAUAAGCCGAGUUAAUUAUUAAAUUGAAUGAUCGUUCUGAGUAUACAAAAGACUGUAUGACUUAGACAAUAAAAAUGAAUCCUGAGGUAUGUCAUUUAUUUGCCAGAAAGCCAUAAGGAAUAAGAAAU
rnacentral:lncRNA from 1 species